AUUUCCUCCUUCAGUCUCUCCUGACUGCCGCAACCUAAUUAGGCAGUGCUUGAAGCGGAAGGCAGCAGAUCGCCUUACCAUGGAGCAGAUCGAGCUGCAUCCUUGGCUUCAGCACUGCUGACCAGGGUCUCUGCCUCUAGAAAGAAACUUAACAUCCUUUGAGGCAAGGCAGUGGAAGGCACUGAUCAGUCUUGGGGCAGUGAGAAGCUGUGAUGGCAGAGGCACAAGCAAGUUUCACGUCGUGGGAGUUACGGGCCAUCAAGUUUUUGUUUCUCCGGCGAAAAUCAGCAAAGGACAUUCACACUGAGAUGUCACAAACACGGGGGGAGAAGUGUCCUUCAUACUGCACUGUCAAAACCUGGAUAUCGCGUUUCAAGACUGGGCAUUUCACCGUUGAAGAUGAGCCCCGCAGUGAGCGCCCCCCAACCUCAACUGACCCGGCAACCUAUGAUGCUGCCCAUGAGCUCAUUAUUCAGAACUGGUGAAAAAAGAUAGCCCAGAUACUUGACUUGACAUCUCACGGGAGCAUGUUGGAUUUGUUAUCACCACUAUCCUAGACAUGCGAAAGCUUCAAAUAAGCUUUUGAAAGCUGAUGAAUAAAAUAAAUCAUAAUAUAUCAAUAAAUAAAAAUGUGUCUCACCAAACAUGUCA